rnacentral:lncRNA from 1 species
CCUCACCUGUUCUUUCUGAGACAAAUCAUCUGCCAGGUUUCCGCCUCGGGACACCCAAGCUCAGCACAGACAGCCUAGCAGCCUGGGUGACAGGAUCCCAGGGGACAGGCUUCCUAGCCAGUAAUCCUUUCAAAUCUCCAGGGUGCUUGCAACCAUCUUCACCUCUUCCCAGGGGAAAGAUUCUGCCCCGGGCCUGGAAUCAGUGCUGUCGGGCUGGGGACCAGUGUCUCUGGCCUGUAAAACCUUCUCCCAAAACCUUCUGGGAGGCUUUGAGGGUCUCAGAGGAACCUGGCAGGAAGGAUUCUCUCCUUGCCAUGGGGAUGAGGACAAAUUCUCCCUUCAUCCUUGAGAUUGGACUCCCGCCACACAUCCUGGAGGAGCCUACAGAGAAGCCGGCAGGUCUCCCUCACCUGGAUGGUGCCAGCGGGUGGCCUGGACCACCCAGAGGCCCUCUCCUGCACCUGACAGGAAGCCCCUGGGGCAUACGUCUCCCCUGCCACUUCCACUGUGGCCACUGGAAGUGUGGCAGAGAAAAUAGCUAGGACAAAAAGAAGUCAAUGAUUUCAACCAACGGAAUUUCUUUGUCCUUUGUAAAAAUCAACACAUGAUCUGUUACUGAUUGGGAUGUGAAAUAAAACUAAAAAUAACAGCACACUGAGCCUGGCUCAGGGCUCAGCUCACCUUU